CUCUGAAAACCCAAGUUCUGUUCACAGCUCUGCUGUGUGACCUUUGCCAAAUCAAUUCCCCUCUCUCUCUCCUCCUGCUGUGUGUGCCAUUAGACUGCAUUUUGCUAAGUGCUAAGACUCUCUCUCUGUCCAACACCUCGCCCGGUGGGGCCCUGAUCUCGGCUGAAAGAGGCAGCGAACAGAGAGAGACUGGCAUUUCACUACUGCUUAGACUGCAAGGCUCGAACCCCAAUCAUCCAAGGGAUGAACCCCGACUGUCCCAUGGAAAGAACCCCGACGCCGCAACGAGGAUGGUUUUGGAAUCCUGGACAGAACCAAUGAAAACUGGAAACACUGGACCACCGGAACGCUGGAACAGGAUGCGACAAUCACCAGGUACUAUAGGAUUGGCUUCAAGCGUUGUCUUUGGUGUGAGACCUAAAGUGCAAUUGACCUGGGGUAAGUGACCUGCCUUUUGGGAUCAGGACUCAUCUGAAUAUUGCUGUGAUUCUUGGAG